GGCGAACGCUGGCGGCGUGCUUAACACAUGCAAGUCGAACGGAAAGGCCCUGCUUGCAGGGUACUCGAGUGGCGAACGGGUGAGUAACACGUGGGUGAUCUGCCCUGCACUUCGGGAUAAGCCUGGGAAACUGGGUCUAAUACCGGAUAGGAGCCAUUUUUAGUGUGAUGGUUGGAAAGUUUUUUCGGUGUAGGAUGAGCUCGCGGCCUAUCAGCUUGUUGGUGGGGUAAUGGCCUACCAAGGCGGCGACGGGUAGCCGGCCUGAGAGGGUGGACGGCCACAUUGGGACUGAGAUACGGCCCAGACUCCUACGGGAGGCAGCAGCGGGGAAUAUUGCACAAUGGGCGCAAGCCUGAUGCAGCGACGCCGCGUGGGGGAUGACGGCCUUCGGGUUGUAAACUCCUUUCGCUAGGGACGAAGCUUUUUGUGACGGUACCUAGAUAAGAAGCACCGGCUAACUACGUG
rnacentral:rRNA from 1 species